GAAGCCGGCCAGACAGCCGCUGCGAGUGGAAGAAGCGAGCCUUUUACGAUGGUUCGUACCGCUCGGAGAGGAAAGUCCGGGCUCCAUAGGGUAGGGUGGCGGCUAAUCACCGCCCGCCGCGAGGCGAGCAACAGGGCCACAGAGAAUAGACCGCCGAUGGCCCCGACUUUGCAGCGCGCAAGCGCUGCAAAGUCUCGUUUACUAGAGGGUGGGCGCAUGCUUAUCCACUGGUGGCGAACGGCAGCACUCGUGCUGCCGUAGUGGCACGAGCCGUUUUUUGGCGCGUGGCACAGGGAUCAGGUAAGGGUGAAACGGUGCGGUAAGAGCGCACCGCGUCCGCUGUAAGGCGGACGGCGAGGCAACCUGCACCCGGAGCAACACCGAAUAGGCAAGCGAUGACGUGACCCGCCGAGCUUGCGGGUGGGUGGCUUGAGCCCGGGAGCAAUUCCGGGCCUAGAGGAAUGGCUGUCGGGGCCGCAAGGCUCUUACAGAACCCGGCUUAUCGGCCGGCUUCCCCU
rnacentral:RNase_P_RNA from 1 species